rnacentral:tRNA from 2 species
GGCGCGAUAGCAAAGAGGCCAUGCCGCGGAUUGCAAAUCCGCUGACGCCGGUUCGAAUCCGGCUCGCGCCUCCA